UAAAAGAUAAGCUAAUUUAAGCUAAUGGGCUCAUACCCCGUAAAUGACAGUUCAAUCUAUCUCUUUUUA
rnacentral:tRNA from 1 species